UUUCUUUACUUAAAUUUUAUUAAUUUGAUUUUUUAGUUAAAAAGCUUAAAUUUUAUUGCAAGACGAGAAGACCCUGUAGAAUUUUAUUUUAUAAGAUAUAUUUAUUUUUUUGUUUAUAAUAUUUAUUUAUAUUUUAUAAAAUUUGGUUGGGGCGAUUGUGAAAAUUAAAUAACUUUCAUUAAUUAAGUUUCAUAAAUUAAUGUAUAUUUUGAUCCUAAUUAUUUUAGAUUAUAAGAUUAAAUUACCUCAGGGAUAACAGCGUUAUUCUUUCGGAGAGUUCUUAUUGAUGAAUAGAGUUUGCGACCUCGAUGUUGGAUUAAGGAAAGUUUUUGGUGCA
rnacentral:rRNA from 1 species